UGGAUAGCUCAAUUGGUAGAGUAUGAGACUCUGAAUCUCAGGGUUGUGGGUUCAAGAUUCCUACAUUGCAGAG
rnacentral:tRNA from 1 species